rnacentral:tRNA from 1 species
GUGGAUGUAGCUCAGUGGUAGAGUCCCAGAUUGUGGAUCUGGUUGUCGCGGGUUCAAAACCCGUCAUCCACC